ACACUUGCAUUAGUUUUUUUAAGAGAAAAAGGACACACAAACAAAACUAUACAGUUUAUACUUUAUUUGAAUCAGGGUUCAUACAGCUUUUAUAAAAGUAAAUAAAAGCACAUCACAGGCACUUUUCAACACUGUGAAAAUCCUAAAUCUCAAACACCAUGCAGAGCAGCAUGACUACAGUCACCUUUUCUCUUAUGUUGCUUUCCUGUACAGUGGAUGUGUUUACCACACAUCUUCCAGCAAUGCCCUCAACAGGUAGAAAUGAUGAUGGACAUGAGGUGUCUGUUCCCCUCAAGUUCCAAACUUCUACCGACUUUCCAUAAAAAUGUCUGUUGGGAUGGUGAUGAAGCCUGGAAACUCCUGCAAUUACGCGUCUAUAUAUAGUACUCUCUGACCUGACAUUAAUGGCUAUGAACUGCUUCAUAAUGGCUGGUCUUGUUUCUGUCAGAGGUUCAAGGAUGGAUUCCUUAAAAAACACCAUCUAGCAAAUACAGACCUGAUCAAAAUCUUAAGACCAGUUGAAAAAUAACUAGAAUUUACCUUUUGCACAUUUGGAUCUUAAUGAGGUUUUAAGUAGAGCUACAAUAUGCAAAAGCAAGAAGGGGGAGUGAGACAAAAAGCACUUUGAAAAAGUAAUUUAUUGAAAACAACAAGUAAACUGAAAUAGGCUGUUUAUCAGCUGAUCAAAAGUUUAAGACCACAGGCUAUAAAAGCCCAAAUCUGCUCAAAAUUCUCAUCUUCUGUCAGGCAUUCACAUGUUCAUGCCCCCCUGAUGGCUAAAGCUAAGAACCUUUCUCUUCUUGAACGUGGUCGGAUCGUAGAGCUGCAUAAGCAAGGCCUCUCGCAGCGUGCCAUUGCUGCUGAGGUUGGAUGCAGUAAGACAGUCAUUCUAAAUUUUUUGAAAGAUCCUGAGCAUUAUGGAACAAAAAAAGUCAAGUGGUAGACCCAAAAAAAUUACACCUGCGCUGAGCCGGAGGAUCCGAUUGGCUGUCCGUCAAGACACAGGGUGGUCCUCGACCCAAAUUAAGGCCCUUACUGGUGCCGACUGCAGCGCAAUAACCAUCAGACGGCAUCUGCGGGAAAAGGUUUUCAAAAACAAAAAAUGAAUUCAAAGACCUCGUCUCCUACAACGCCACAAAACUGCGCGUUUAGACUUUGCCAGGGAGCAUCAAACAUGGGACAGUGAAAGGUGGAAAAAAGUUUUAUUCUCUGAUGAGAAAAAAUUUAACCUUGACGGUCCAGAUGGCUUCCAACGUUACUGGCAUGACAAGGAGAUCCCACCUGAGAUGUUUUCUACCCGGCACAGUGGAGGGGGGUCCAUCAUGAUCUGGGUGCUUUUUCAUUCAGUGGAACACUGGAGCUUCAGGUGGUGCAGGUCGUCAAACGGCAGCUGGUUACGUGCAGAUGUUGCAGCGGGCAUCCCUCAUGACUGAGGGCCCUCGUCUGUGUGGUAACAGCUGGGUUUUUCAACAGGACAACGCUGCAGUUCACAAUGCUCGCUUGACCAAGGACUUCUUCAGGGAGAAUAUCAUCACUCUUUUGGACCAUCCCACAUGUUCCCCUGAUUUAAAUCUCAUAGAGAACAUUUGGGGAUGGAUGGCAAGGGAAGUUUAUAAAAAUGGCCAUCAGUUCCAGACAGUUGAUGCCCUUCGUGAAGCCAUCUUCACCACUUGGAGAAAUGUUCCCACCAGCCUCUUGGAAACACUCGCAUCAAGCAUGCCCAAACGAAUUUUUGAAGUGGUUAACAAGAACGGUGGAGCUACUCAUUACUGAGUCCUACUGAGAACAUUUUUUGUUCUGGUUUGGAGAGUUUUUUGUAAUUUUUUGAGCGAUGGUCUUAAACUUUUGAUCAGCUGAUAAACAGCCUAUUUCAGUUUACUUGUUGUUUUCAAUAAAUUACUUUUUCAAAGUGCUUUUUGUCUCACUCCCCCUUCUUGCUUUUGCAUAUUGUAGCUCUACUUAAAACCUCAUUAAGAUCCAAAUGUGCAAAAGGUAAAUUCUAGCUAUUUUUCAACUGGUCUUAAGAUUUUGAUCAGGUCUGUACAUAUGCUGACCUUUCUGCUCUAAAUCUGUCAUUCAAAUAUGUUACAAGUUUGCAUGAAAUGGCAAAAUGAUCAACUGUAAUUACAGUGUUCAGGGUUCAUCUGAUGAUACAUUAUCAACACUGCAUGCACACUACCAGACAAAAGUUUGGACACACCUCAUUCAAUGGUUUUUAUUUAUUUGUAUUAUUUAUACAUUGAGAUUAAUACUGAAUAUUAACUCUUUUUGUUUACAACAUAAUUCCAUAUGUAUGUAUGUACUGAAUGAGAUGGUGUGUCCAAACUUUUGACUGGUAGUGUAGAUCAAGCUCAUCUAGGAUGAUAUGACAGAGGCAUCACUGUAAGGGGCAAAGCCUUUUCUUCUUUUGAUUAAAGAAGUUCAUCUUGCAGGCGUAGAGAAAAUCUGUUAACCUGGAGAAGUCGGCAUGUUACUUUAAGGAAUGCUGCGUCACUGACGUCAUCACGUUAGAGUUGCUCGUCCAAUCACACGCGUCGUCUCGCAAGAACCGCGCGAUACACGAACAGACAAAGAAGUCGUCUUUGUGAGUUUCUACAAUGGCGGCCCGGUAUCACCAGUCCGACUCACCACAAACUCCUCACAUAGAACAGCCUGAACAUGACCGACUGGUUCCAGUCAGACCCGCGACAGACACUGAGAAGAAACUGUUGAGCAUUAUCAGCGGGCUGUAUGGCCAAAGAGGCCCGCUGGAGCAGAAGCUGGAGCAGAAGCUGGAGGAGAGGAUAGCCGCAAUGGAAGCAAAAUUAAACACUUUCUCCAGCGGCGAGGAAAUUCAGCGGAAAAGAGGAGAGCACAGUCCUAAAAUUGCGACUGGGCUCACCUCACAAUGAGACAGUCAGGACAUAUUUAGUUAAAACUUUGGCUGAAGUCCAGAUGUGGAGGAUGUGGAGACAGACGUCCUUCUAUCUGAUUGUAAAAAGCUUUUUGAAACUCUACGGAGGAACUACCACUACAGUCAACCCAACAUGGCGGAUCAGGCGGAGGCCAUGAAGUCUUCUGCCCCGAGUCACCACAGAAGAAAGAGGGAAGACAGUCCUUGCUCCCGAUGAAGAGGACUUCUGGAAGGGCAUCACAACUGACAUGAUGUCAGAUGAAGAGGACGGCAGCGUUGACGGGGUGCGUGGAUGGAUAGUAUGGCCUCCAUCCUUCCACAGCCAGGAGCUUGCCAACCUGUGUGCAGCCCUACAGGCUGGAGGCUGAUGUAAAGUACACAGCUCUACAUCACAGGUGUUUUCACAAUGGACAGCCGUCUGAUAGACUGAAGCCACUGAAGUACAACACGGCAGCAGCCAAAAAACAUUUUAAGCCAGAGCUGAUGCUUGAGACCAGCCUGGAGUGAGAGAUGAACUUGGUCAAAAUUUUUUGUUUUUAAAGACAGUUUAUUUUAAUUUUGAUUUCGGAUUUCUGGAACUCAGGACUGUUCAAUAAAGCUCUUGUUUUUCAACAUG